rnacentral:lncRNA from 1 species
UGUUUCUAAGGUGGAAAUCAAAGGAUCAGGUGGAGGAGGAAGAAGAAGGAGAUUCUGAAAUGGUGUCAUAGAAACCAAGGAAGGAAAUAAUUUUUUUUAAAAAAAGUCAUACUCAACAAAACCUCCCCAAAAAGGAGACCAAGAGAUCAAACAAGGCAAGGCAACGUAUCUCAUAGUGAUGACAGAGGGCAAGAGGGAGGCAAUCCAUUCUCAUACGGACUUUUCAAGCUUCUGCUGGCAUCAUGUUUGCUUCCAUCCCAUGGGGUAAAGGAAGUCACAUGACUGACUCAUGAGCUCAGACUCAGAGUGGGAGAGGACCAAAGGUGUGGACACAAGGAGGCUGAAGAGCUGGCUGUCAUCGUAAUCACUCUACUGAAUCGGAGUGACCAUAUCAAGUGUAUAGUAAAAAAAAUUUUUAAAAAGUUUUAUUAUCUACUUUCUAAAACUUCC